rnacentral:rRNA from 1 species
AUGAAGGAUCUAGGAGUAGCUAAUGUUAUCUUAAACAUCAAACUGUUGAGAGAUGAGAAUGGUGGGAUCACACUGCUUCAGUCUCACUAUGUGGAAAAGAUUAAGGCCACAAGUGGUUAUGUUUUUACACUUGAUGGUGGCGCUGUUUCCAGGAAGUCUUGCAAGCAGACCAUCUUAACGAGGUCAACUAUGGAAGCAGAACUCACAGCAUUAGACACUGCCACUGUUGAAGCAGAGUGGCUUCGUGAGCCCUUGAUGGACUUACCUAUGGUUGAAAAACCAAUACCCCCUAUCCUGAUGAACUGUGAUAAUCAAACUGUGAUCGUCAAGAUAAACAGUUCUAAGGACAAUAUGAAGUCCUCAAGGCAUGUGAAGAGGAGACUAAAAUCUGUCAGAAAAUUGAGGAACUCCGGAGUUAUUACGUUGGAUUAUAUCCAAACAACGAAAAACUUGGCAGAUCCCUUCACAAAGGGUUUACCACGUAAUGUGAUAGAUAAUGCAUCGAUGGAGAUGGGUUUGAGACCCACC